rnacentral:rRNA from 1 species
UAGUCCACGCCGUAAACGAUGAGAACUAGCUGUGGGGUUUUAUUACUUCGUAGCAAAGCUAACGCAUUAAGUUCUCCGCCUGGGGAGUACGACCGCAAGGUUAAAACUCAAAUGAAUUGACGGGGGCCCGCACAAGCGGUGGAGCAUGUGGUUUAAUUCGAUGCAACGCGAAGAACCUUACCUACCCUUGACAUCCCACGAAUCUUGCAGAGAUGCUUGAGUGCCUUCGGGAACGUGGUGACAGGUGCUGCAUGGCUGUCGUCAGCUCGUGUUGUGAAAUGUUGGGUUAAGUCCCGUAACGAGCGCAACCCUUAUUCUUAUUUGCCAGCGAGUAAUGUCGGGAACUAUAAGAAGACUGCCGGUGACAAACCGGAGGAAGGUGAGGACGACGUCAAGUCAUCAUGGCCCUUACGGGUAGGGCUACACACGUGCUACAAUGGUUAGUACAAUGGGAAGCAAUACGGCGACGUGGAGCAAAUCCAGAAAAGCUAAUCUUAGUCCGGAUUGCAGUCUGCAACUCG